GAGUUUGAUCUUGGCUCAGGAUGAACGCUAGCGGCAGGCCUAACACAUGCAAGUCGAGGGGUAAUAUAGCAAUAUAUGAGACCGGCGCACGGGUGCGUAACGCGUAUGCAAUCUACCUUUUACAGAGGGAUAGCCCAGAGAAAUUUGGAUUAAUACCUCAUAGUAUAUUUGAGUGGCAUCACUUGAUUAUUAAAGUUCCAGCGGUAAAAGAUGAGCAUGCGUCCUAUUAGCUGGAUGGUAAGGUAACGGCUUACCACGGCUACGAUAGGUAGGGGUCCUGAGAGGGAGAUCCCCCACACUGGUACUGAGACACGGACCAGACUCCUACGGGAGGCAGCAGUGAGGAAUAUUGGACAAUGGGCGCAAGCCUGAUCCAGCCAUGCCGCGUGCAGGAAGACGCAUCUAUGGUGUGUAACUGCUUUUGUACGGGAAGAAACACUCCCCUCGUGAGGGAGCUUGACGGUACCGUAAGAAUAAGGAUCGGCUAACUCCGUGCCAGCA
rnacentral:rRNA from 1 species